AGUGAACGCUGGCGGUAGGCCUAACACAUGCGAGUCGAACGGCAGCACAGUAAGAGCUUGCUCUUACGGGUGGCGAGUGGCGGACGGGUGAGGAAUACAUCGGAAUCUACUUUUUCGUGGGGGAUAACGUAGGGAAACUUACGCUAAUACCGCAUACGACCUACGGGUGAAAGCAGGGGAUCUUCGGACCUUGCGCGAUUGAAUGAGCCGAUGUCGGAUUAGCUAGUUGGCGGGGUAAAGGCCCACCAAGGCGACGAUCCGUAGCUGGUUUGAGAGGAUGAUCAGCCACACUGGAACUGAGACACGGUCCAGACUCCUACGGGAGGCAGCAGUGGGGAAUAUUGGACAAUGGGCGCAAGCCUGAUCCAGCCAUACCGCGUGGGUGAAGAAGGCCUUCGGGUUGUAAAGCCCUUUUGUUGGGAAAGAAAAGCAGCAGGUUAAUACCCCGCUGUUCUGACGGUACCCAAAGAAUAAGCACCGGCUAACUUCGUG
rnacentral:rRNA from 1 species